GAUUUCUUUGUUGUUUUGCUUUCUCUUGGCUUGUCUGCUAGCAAAGAUUAAGAAUGUUUACCAGCCCUCUAAUAGGGUAUUGUAUCACCCUUGGAGAGCAAACAAAUGAAGAACUGGGCAACCGGGAAAAUACGUAACCAACUUGGCUUCUGGUGAAAGGCUAUUUUGAGAAACAAUCCUUGAAUUACUUUCAUUUGAGAGAGCCGUGUGGAAUUCAGGAGGUUAUCAGUAGAAAUGUUUAUAACUGUUCUUUAUGGAGAGGAAAUCGAGUUAGCAGAUGAGAGUGGCCAAGUCAAGAAUUUGCUUCAAAACAAAUAUCACUAUGCAACUGAACUCCUGGGAGAACGAGAGACUUAUGUGCUACUUCGUGUCAC
rnacentral:lncRNA from 1 species